GAGAGAGAGAGAGAGAGAGAGAGAGAGAGAGAGAGAGAGAGAAAGAGAGAGAGUGCUUCAUAAUCUAUAAGAGUCUGUGAAGAAGACCUGAUAACAGUCUGUGAAUUUUUGCCUAUCUAGCUUGAUUAUUCUGAAGUCCAAUAAAGUUUGUAGAUAGAUCUAAUUGCACCUCCAUAUUUUUCUAUAUCUCAAGAAAUGAAGAGUUUUUAAAAAUAUUUAUAUACCA